ensembl:snRNA U2 U2 spliceosomal RNA
AUCGCUUCUCGGCCUUUGGCUAAGAUCAAGUGUAGUAUCUGUUCUUAUCAGUUUAAUACCUGAUACGUCCUCCAUUCGAGGACUUUAUAUUAAACGGAUUUUUAGAGCGAGGAGCUGGAAGAGGGGCUUGCUCUGUCCGCUCCACGCAUCGACCUGGUAUUGCAGUACCUCAGGAACGGUGCACCUUUU